rnacentral:rRNA from 1 species
GACGAACGCUGGCGGUGUGCUUAACACAUGCAAGUCGAACGGAAAGGCCCUGCUUUUGUGGGGUGCUCGAGUGGCGAACGGGUGAGUAACACGUGAGUAACCUGCCCUUGACUUUGGGAUAACUUCAGGAAACUGGGGCUAAUACCGGAUAGGAGCUCCUGCUGCAUGGUGGGGGUUGGAAAGUUUCGGCGGUUGGGGAUGGACUCGCGGCUUAUCAGCUUGUUGGUGGGGUAGUGGCUUACCAAGGCUUUGACGGGUAGCCGGCCUGAGAGGGUGACCGGCCACAUUGGGACUGAGAUAGGGCCCAGACUCCUACGGGAGGCAGCAGUGGGGAAUAUUGCACAAUGGGCGGAAGCCUGAUGCAGCAACGCCGCGUGCGGGAUGACGGCCUUCGGGUUGUAAACCGCUUUCGCCUGUGACGAAGCGUGAGUGACGGUAAUGGGUAAAGAAGCACCGGCUAACUACGUG